rnacentral:rRNA from 1 species
UUCCGGUUGAUCCUGCCGGAGGCUACUGCUAUCGGGGUUCGAUUAAGCCAUGCGAGUUAAAUGUUCUUCGUGAACAUAGCGAACUGCUCAGUAACACGUGGAUAACCUACCCUUAGGACCGGAAUAACCCCGGGAAACUGGGGAUAAUACCGGAUAAGCCAUAGACGCUGGAAUGCCCUAUGGUUCAAAGCUCCGGCGCCUAAGGAUGGAUCUGCGGUCUAUCAGGUUGUAGUGGGUGUAACGUACCUACUAGCCGACGACGGAUACGGGUUGUGAGAGCAAGAGCCCGGAGAUGGAUUCUGAGACACGAAUCCAGGCCCUACGGGGUGCAGCAGGCGCGAACACUUUACAAUGCGGGAAACCGCGAUAAGGGAACCCCGAGUGCCAGCAUCAAAUGUUGGCUGUCCGGAUGAUUAAAAAUCAUUUGUUAGCAAGGGCCGGGCAAGACCGGUGCCAGCCGCCGCGGUAACACCGGCGGCCCGAGUGGUAGCCGUUUUUAUUGGGUCUAAAGGGUCCGUAGCCGGCCUGAUCAGUCCUUUGGGAAAUCUGGCAGCUUAACUGUCAGGCUUCUAAGGGAUACUGUCAGGCUUGGGACCGGAAGAGGUAAGGGGUACUCCAGGGGUAGGAGUGAAAUCUUGUAAUCCCUGGGGGACCAUCUGUGGCGAAGGCGCCUUACCAGAACGGGUCCGACGGUGAGGGACGAAAGCUAGGGGAGCAAACCGGAUUAGAUACCCGGGUAGUCCUAGCUGUAAACGAUGCUCGCUAGGUGUCAGACACGGUGCGACCGUGUUUGGUGCCGCAGGGAAGCCGUUAAGCGAGCCACCUGGGAAGUACGGUCGCAAGGCUGAAACUUAAAGGAAUUGGGCGGGGGGAGCACUACAACGGG